rnacentral:rRNA from 1 species
CAGACUUGACAUCCUGUGAACCCCUCAGAGACGUGGGGGUGCCUUCGGGAGCACAGAGACAGGUGCUGCAUGGCUGUCGUCAGCUCGUGUCGUGAGAUGUUCGGUUAAGUCCGGCAACGAGCGCAACCCUUGUCUUCAGUUGCCAGCACGUAAAGGUGGGAACUCUGAAGAGACUGCCCCGGUAACGGGGAGGAAGGUGGGGAUGACGUCAAGUCAUUAUGGCCCUUAUGCCCUGGGCUACACACGUGCUACAAUGGUCGAUACAGAGGGUAGCCAACCCGUGAGGGGGAGCUAAUCCCAUAAAGUCGGCCCCAGUUCGGAUUGGAGGCUGCAAUUCGCCUCCAUGAAGCUGGAAUCGCUAGUAAUGGCGCAUCAGCUACGGCGCCGUGAAUAUGUUCCCGGGCCU